UAGAAAAAUGCGCCUUUGAAUCGAUUUUCGGGAAAAUUUCGAGAGUUUCUGGGCUAAGCUAAGUGGUGAGUUUCUCCUACAAAUCGUGGAACGCCUUACUAAGCCCCGCCCCUUUCUUGGACAAAAAAUAUCAAACCACGCCCAUUUU
ensembl:ncRNA Y37E11B.14 ncRNA